AAAGAAAGCAGGAAAAGCUGGGUCAGGAGAGGGAUAAAGAAGAGUGAUAUUGAUACACUAGAAAUCUGAGGUCACAAGAGGUACACCUAUGGUUGCCGGUGACAAAGGGUAACCUAGAGAGGAGGAAGGUAGUUUUGUAUUUAAUGUGGAACCACCCUGAGGAGACACCAGUACUCUAACGGAGGGCACGGUGAGUGGUGGCCGUGUUCAAGAACACCUGGAAGUGACAGGGGAUCAG
rnacentral:lncRNA from 1 species